UCGAGCGGUACAUUUCAAAAGCUUGCUUUUGAAGAUGACGAGCGGCGGACGGGUGAGUAAUGCCUAGGGAACUGCCCAGUCGAGGGGGAUAACAGUUGGAAACGACUGCUAAUACCGCAUACGCCCUACGGGGGAAAAGAGGGGAUCUUCGGACCUUCUGCGAUUGGAUGUACCUAGGUGGGAUUAGCUAGUAGGUGAGGUAAUGGCUCACCUAGGCGACGAUCCCUAGCUGUUCUGAGAGGAUGAUCAGCCACACUGGGACUGAGACACGGCCCAGACUCCUACGGGAGGCAGCAGUGGGGAAUAUUGCACAAUGGGCGCAAGCCCUGAUGCAGCCAUGCCGCGUGUGUGAAGAAGGCCUUCGGGUUGUAAAGCACUUUCAGCGAGGAGGAAAAGGUUAACGGUUAAUA
rnacentral:rRNA from 1 species